AAAAAUGGGUCUUCAGAAGAGAUUUGAGUGAGGAGGCUGCUAGGCCUGAGAGGUAGUUCCAUGUGUAGGGAACUGGUAUCACUGGGGGGAGGAGGAGGACUGCACAAAGGGUGGAUGGUACAGUACAAUAGAUAGGAUCCAAGAUGUAGGGUAAAAAGAACAGGAGUACUUGUGGCACCUUAGAGACUCUCGUUGGAGUCUGUUCUUGAAGCUUUUCUGUUGUAAAAGCUUUUCUGUUCUGACAUCAUAAUCAAAAAGGCUGACAAAGGAGGUGCUGUCGUCAUCAUUAAGAAAUUGGAAUAUGACCAAGAGGCAGCUAGACAGCUCUCUAACACCACAUUCUACAGGCCAUUAUCCUCUGAUCCCACUGAGGAUUACCUAAAGAAACCACACCAUCUGCUAAAAAAGCUCCCUGACAAAGCACAGGAACAUAUCUGUACAGACACAUGCCUAGAACCUCGACCAGGCGUAUUCUGUUUGCUACCCAAGAUUCAUAAACCUGGAAAUCCUGGAUGCCCCAUCAUCUCAGGCAUUGGCACCCUAACAUCAGGAUUUCUGGUUAUGUGGACUCUCUCCUCAGGCCCUAUGCUACCAGCACUCCCAGCUAUCUUCGAGACACCACGGACUUCCUGAGGAAACUACAAUCCAUUGGUGAUCUUCCAGAAAACACCAUCCUAGCCACUAUGGAUAUAAAAGCCCUCUACACCAAUAUUCCACACAAAGAUGGACUACAAGCUAUCAGGAACAGUAUCCCCGUUAAUGUCACAGCUAACCUGGUGGCUGAACUUUGUGACUUUGUCCUCACCCAUAACUAUUUCACAUUUGGGGACAAUAUAUACCUUCAAGUCAGCGGCACUGCUAUGGGUACCCGCAUGACCCCACAGUAUGCCAACAUUUUUAUGGCUGACUUAGAACAAGGCUUCCUUAGCUCUCAUCCCCUAACGCCCCUACUCUACUUGUGCUACAUUGAUGACAUCUUCAUCGUCUGGACCCAUGGAAAAGAAGCCCUUGAGGAAUUCCACCAUGAUUUCAAUAAUUUCCAUCCCACCAUCAAACUCAGCUUAGAUCAAUCCACACAAGCGGUCCAUUUCCUGGACACUACUGUGCUAAUAAGCAAUGGUCACAUAAAUACCACCCUAUACCGGAAACCUACUGACCGCUAUACUUACCUACAUGCCUCCACCUUCCAUCCAGGACACACCACACGUUCCAUUGUCUACAGCCAAGCUCUAAGAUACAACCGCUUUUGCUCCAAUCCCUCAGACAGAAACAAGCACCUACAAGAUCUCUAUCAAGCAUUCUUAAAACUACAAUACCCACCUGCUGAAGUGAAAAAACAGAUUGACAGAGCCAGACGAGUACCCAGAAGUCACCUCCUACAAGACAGGCCCAACAAAGAAAAUAACAGAACACCACUAGCUGUCACCUUCAGCCCCCAACUGAAACCUCUCCAGCGCAUCAUCAAAGAUCUACAACCUAUCCUGAAAGAUGAUCCCUCACUCUCACAAAUCUUUGGAGACAGACCUGUCCUCGCUUACAGACAACCCUCCAACCUGAAGCAAAUACUCACCAGCAACCACACAUCACUGAACAAAAACACUGACCCAGGAACCUAUCCUUGCAACAAAGCCCGAUGCCAACUCUGCCCACAUAUCGAUUCAAGUGAAAUCAUCAUAGGACCUAAUCACAUCAGCCAUACCAUCAGGGGCUCGUUCACCUGCACAUCUACCAAUGUGAUAUAUGCCAUCAUGGGCCAGCAAUGCCCCUCUGCCAUGUACAUUGGCCAACCUCUACGCAACAUCGGACAGUCUCUACGCAAAAGAAUUAAUGGACACAAAUCUGACAUCGGGAAUCAUAAUACUCAAAAACCAGUGGGAGAACACUUUAACCUGUCUGGUCAUU
ensembl:lncRNA